rnacentral:lncRNA from 1 species
AUUAAUCAAUCAAUUAAUUAACAUUUGGUCGUCUGACAUGAACAGAAUAAAUCAAUAGCAAGCAUGUAGUUCUUUGAAAAGAACAAAAAACAUAAAACGAAAAUGCAUAUGAGAGUGCCAACAAACAUGAUAGCGACAUUUAAACAAAGCAAAAUUGGAGGUACUGGCAUGAUUUAUAGGCCAAGUAUCAAGAUGGAGACUUUUAAUUAAUUUUUGGAAUCUUUAAAAUAAGAAAACAUAUUAGCAUAAAAGAUAUUAGAAUUGUAUAAUGAAAACAACAGAUGCCAGCAAAACGCACACUGACCAUUUUCCCUGAGAGAUCGUGUACUAGUAACAAAAUUAAGAACUGAAUCAUCAGCAGUUGUUCUUCAACAAAUAUUAACAGAAGCCCAAACUGAAUACCUUUUUCGGUUCCUUUGAGCAGCGGAUCUCGCUUUACGCUUCCUCUUCUCCUGACUGCUCUCAAAAAAUCUUCUUCUCUUGCACUCUUGUAUAAUACCAGCUCUCAGCACCGCACUCCUAAACCGCCUCGCUAUCUUCUCCUCGGGCUAGUCGUCGGCGACUUCUAUCUGCACGUUGAAGAAAUAUAUGGUGUCUGUUGGAGCUGGACGGGGCUGCUGGCUGCUGCUGUGAGUGCUGUCGUCGUGGGCCACAAAACUCAAAAAGUGAGAAGAGGGAGCAAGGAGGGGGAGGGAGUUAGACGGUGAGACCGGCUGGUGUCUGUUGGAGCUGAACGGGGCUGCUGUGGCUGCUGCUGAAGUGCUGAUGUCGUCGGCCACAGUUCUCAGAAAGUGAGAACUGAGAAGAGGGAGCAAGGAGGGGGAGGCCGGGAGGUAGACAGGGAGUGAGAGAUUUUUGUUUAGGGAUUUUUAGGGAUUUUUUGGUUUAAUUAAUGUAUAUAUAUUUUUUAUUUAAAAGCUAAAUCUAAAAAAAAAAAAAAAGCUUCAACCCGAACGGGUUGAAAAUUCGGUUCGGGUUGAACCCGAACCGAAAUUUAACCCGAACGGGUUGAAGCUUUGAAUCCGUUCGGGUUUCACUGGUUAAUCCAAACCGAACCGAACCCGAAAUAAAUUUCGGGUUCGGUUUGGUUCGGGUUAACCCGAACCGAACGCCCACCCUCACGCUUCACUCUCUUCUUUGGUUCUUCUCCAAUUUUCACCCUUAAAUCUUCACAGCUUUCUUCUUUUUAAGUCUUCACUCUUCAGUUUUCACAAAUCGAUUUCUCACACAAUCGGGUUUCACAGAUCGAGUUUCAGUCACAAAAGCAAACCGAUGGUCACUCAAAGACGCAGCGCAAGAACCGAAGAUCAUUUGCAGACACAGCCACCGGAUCCGUGGUUCCGUCCAUCACCAAGUUUCUCACCUCCAAGCUCCACUUCAACCCAGCAACCUGACUUCUCCAACCUGCAACCUGAGCCUUGUGUUUUGAAAUUUUGAUGGUUUUUCUUGAUGUUGUGAUUAUUAUCAUAUAUAAAUUGUAAAAUUUUAAUGUUCACCAGCUAAUGAUAAAGAAAAUCAGUGAUAAAGAAAGUUGUAAUGUAUUUUUUUUCCAAUGAUGGGCAUAAAUUUUUUCAUUUUUCAGUCCAAACUGAUUUUAAUCCGAAUCCGAUCCGAACCGAACUCAACCCGAUUUUUUGACCCGGAUCGGAUUGGAUCGGAUUACAAGUUCGGAUUGAAUUCGGAUGGAUUUCUG